rnacentral:rRNA from 1 species
CGAUGGCGACCGGCGCACGGUGAGUAACGCGUAUGCAACCUGCCCGAUACCGGGGUAUAGCCCAUGGAAACGUGGAUUAACACCCCAUAGUACUUUUAUCCUGCCUGGGAUGGGAGUUAAAUGUUCAAGGUAUCGGAUGGGCAUGCGUCCUAUUAGUUAGUUGGCGGGGUAACAGCCCACCAAGACGAUGAUAGGUAGGGGUUCUGAGAGGAAGGUCCCCCACAUUGGAACUGAGACACGGUCCAA